GCUCUCCCGUCCACCAGUAAAAGAAACUCGGAAUUAAGUCCAAACUGAAGCAAUUUGACUUAGCUGAUAUGAAAUUCAUAGAGAGACACAUAAGAAUGUGGCUAAUUUGAAUUCCCUCUGGAAAUGAAUUAUUUCUGUGGCUAAUUAUUUGCCUCCUGGAAAGACUGCAGGCAGCUUUGAGUGCCAUGUGGUCCCCACAGGGAAACAUUUAUUAGGGACAAGGACACAAGAUGAUAAUGACAUGCAGGCAUCAGUCCUAGAAAAGCAAUGUUUCAAAUACAUGGUCUAAUAUGGUUGGCAGUAAAAAUAUAAAUGUUUUUAUGUAGAAAGAAAAUUGGAAAAGUUAGAUUAUUUGAUGUUACUAAAAAGAGUUACAUGGUGGUAUUGAGUAAUAUGGUGAUUAUGGCUACUAUUAUCAUUAGGAAUUAUAAUGCCAUUGCAAACAGAAGAGCCAUUCCAAAUGCACCACUUGGAAAGAUCAUAUUCAUCUAAUUAGGAACUUUAGGGCUUUAUUUGCACAAUGAAAACAUAUGAAAUGCAUGAAUAAGACCAUUAAUUAUAUUUCAGCUUCUGAAGAGACUUUAGCAGGAAUGAGGACACCAAGGAAAGUGUUAAAUUCAAAAAUAAGGGUAUACAAUCAAAAAGCUCAUAAACCGAUGCUUUUGAAUAAUGCUUUCAGAAAGAACAUCUAUAAUUUGGAGAUUAAAUGUUGUGCUUUGAAAAAGACCUGUAUGAACCUUCCAUAAGAGAGCACUUCCAAAAUAUAUUUGUCAACAUGUGAAAGCUGGAACCGAGCACUGAUUAAUCAAUCAUAUACAACAGAUUAGUUAUUGAUGAAGAGGUAAGGAGGCCAAAAGACUAAUUUGAUCUAGACUCAGCUUGCUCACAUAUAACCCCAUCCUGGAUAUAUGGGUCUGGAUAACACUUAUUCUUCAGAUCCCACUUCAAGCACAAAUUUCUUGAGGAAGCCUUUCUUGAUUCCUCGUUGAAGAACAGGUUCCUCUGCUACAUGUGUCUAGCCUCUCUUCUUAACUUUCUGGGCUUUUAACAGAGCAAUAUAAUGAGGGUUAAGCAAGUUGUUAUAUAUAUAUAUAUAGUUGUUGUUGGCUUCCUUCACUUUGUCCCACUGUUCUCUUGGAGCUCACAAGUGAGCUGAUGGACUUCAAGGAUGUCAGCAGAGGAUAGUAAAGAGAACACCAAGCUGGGGCUUGAGUGGGGACGUGGCUAGAGCUCAGGGGAUACCAGGACUGGUGGGAGAAUAUAAGAAUAAAGGUGAUGGUUGAUUCCCA
rnacentral:lncRNA from 12 species